AUGACCGAGGUGAAGCUGGCGGUGCUGGGCGGCUGCGGAGCCGGCAAGUCGGCGCUGGCGGUGCGGUUUCUGACCCGGCGGUUCAUCGGGGAGUACGCUUCCAACGCCGAAUGCAUCUACAAUAAACACUUAUGCCUGGAUGGGAGACAGAUACACUUGGAAAUAUAUGACCCUUGUUCACAGCCACAGCGGGGGAAGCUCUCCCUGACAGACGAGAUCCACUGGGCUGAUGGAUUUAUCAUUGUUUAUGACAUAAGUGACAGAGCAUCCUUUGCAUUUGCAAAAGCAUUGCUGUACAGGAUCCGAGAGUCUCACAUAGGAGCAUGUAAAAAGAUGGUCGGAUCAUCAGUAUUUUUGGUUGGCAAUAAGCAGGAUUUAUGCCACAUGAGAGAAGUUGGCUGGGAUGAAGGACAAAAGCUGGCAAUGGAUAACAAGUGCCAAUUCUUUGAACUAUCUGCAGCAGAACAUUAUCAGGAAGUUGUGACAAUGUUCACAAAAGUCCUGAGGAAUAUCACCUCAAAUUUCAAAGUGAAGGAGAAGAGACGAUCAAGUGGAUCAAAGUCAAUGGCCAAGUUAAUCAACAAUGUGUUUGGAAAGAGAAGGAAAUCCGUGUAAAAGAGGGUUAGUCUUGAAGUAGGAGUAAGUUGAAAUAAUGGAGCACAGGCAGCUCUUGGGAUUCAGUCAGUUUCUUCCAAGGGUCAAUGUCUGGAGGAGUAAGAUAGUAGAAACCAGUGGUGGGAGAUAGUAUGGUCAAGUGGACAGGGUCUAGACGCAGAAGACCUGACUUUCUAUUUCCAGUUCUACAGAUUUACUGUGUUAGGGCUAUGUCACUUCAACUGCAAGAUGCUCCUCUCACCCUUAAUCUAAUGCCAGUGUGGUCUUGGAUAGAGCUUGUAGGUGUGAUUGAAGUAUAAACAGUUAUUUCUAAUAAACUCAGCCAUGCUGAUCAAAAUCUUAUUUUAGAAUUGGGAGAAGUGGUUGGAUUUUUUUGUGCAAGAACACUUGCACUAAAGAAAAGCAAAAUACUGCUUCUCUGUGUGAUAAUGUAUUUGUAUUUAAAUCAAGGAUGGAUGGCUCAGAUCCUUGUGUGCCUGAAGGUACCUAGCACCUGCUGAAAUGUGUAUGAAUUAAAUGCCUAGACAGCAAAUCUACAAAAGGGAUUUACUUGCAAAGCUGCCUUGCAGUGGCACCAGAAGUAGGGAAGCAGAUAAACAAAGCAGUAUUGUCUCCUGUUUAAGUAUCUUUUUUUUUUUUUUUUUUCCUGAGAGAUGAAAGAAAGUGGAGAAGGUUGAGGAAUGUGGGAACUGAAAUGUUAGUGAAAUGUUAGUCAGUGAGCAUUGGACUCUUUUGGCAAGGUCACUGUAGUGAAAUAAUUUUAUGGCUAGGUCUAGUCGAGGGCCAGUGUAACAUCUUGGGCAGAUCCCUUUUAUAGAGCAGUUUUUGUGGACUGUAAUAAAGUUUACUUACCUGUAAGGUGGAUAUGCCUGUUCAAUUUUAAAUGGGAGUGGAAGUUUGAAAAACACGUGUACUGGUAAAGAGCACAGUGUUUUUAGGAUGUCUUGCCUGGAUUAAAAGGUCAGCCUGCUAGUCAGACCUGUCCUCCUAACUUGCAUAGACCGUUUUUUCCUAAGAACCAAUGUUUACAGCUAGUCAUCCAUAUGGUAUUGAAAUGCAACUUGAGAGAGCACUAAGGAAUACGUCAGCUGCACAAAUGUGGAUAUUAAACAUCAGACAGGUCUAAAUGUGUUGUCAAUUGACAUUCAGAGUUCUUGCUGUAGACUUUACUAAAUAAGGGCUUAGCCUAGUGUGUUUGGAAGUGCUGUGCUCAUACAGAAAUUAUGAAAGGGAAGAGGAGUGAUCUGAAGAUGAAUUUCUGCCUCAUACUCAUUCCAGAGGACAGCUGGGAUUCAGUCUUUGAAAGUUGCUGAGCUGAAGCCUACCUCUGCUCUGAAGUUUUACCUGCAUUGAAACUGAUGGGGUGAGUGUUGGAACAGAAUGGCUAUCUUCUGGCAUGUGUGCUAGGCUGUACUCAUCUGAAAACCAGCUGAAACAGCUGCAGGAUGCAUUUAGACUUGAGCAUACUAAAGCACCGAGUAUAAACAGAAUUUGGAGUUCUUUGGAUCAGGAUUUGACUUUUAUUGCUGGUAAGUACAGAUGAACAAGAGUGCAGAAUUUGUAAAGGAAUUUUAAAGCAGUAAAGCAGAUUUUCAUUCUCCCUUUCUAAGUGUAUUUCACUAGUAUUUACUUUUAAAAAAGUGAAGGCCUUUUAAAGAAAAUAUAUUGAAAAGACUGAUAUGUAUAUAUAUAUUGCUAAAUGUUCUUGGAGUUUUAACAGUGAAGGUUGCUGGCUCAGCCACAUUUGGAAAUGCAAGCAAGAACUCUGCCUGCCUAACAAGUAACGGAUGUAUAUGCUCACUCACCCUUGACAGUGACAACACCUAGGGCAUAUUGAACUCAUCGAAGAAAAUAGAAAUGGAGCUAUUUGUGUUGCCCAUCCUUUCUCUACUAAAAGAUGUUGAAAUUUCCAUACAAGAGUUAAAAGUUCCGUGCUGUCAUGUCUGGAAGUUUAUAUGAACUUUCUAGUUUCAGUAAAAUUGUGACUGAGAAAGGCACUCAGAAAUGAUGUUCUUUCUCCCUGUCUUCAGCUUUUUUUUUUACUUUAGAAAUGGUGACAUAAAAGCAAAGGGAUUCUACUGAAGUGUAAAGGUAAUAGCCCCUGGCUCCCAAAUGCUGUCUCUCAGAGAGCUUUGAGGUGUUUUUUUAAAGCUCUUUCUCACUAUAGUUUUGAAAUAAAUAAUCAAGACAAACACAACCUCAGCUGUUUUUUUCUGGCUGUCAUUUCUAUAUGUGUUAAACUCCUCCUAAAUCCCAGUAGAGUCACAUUCACAACAGUGCAGAGGGGAAAAUGUCACAAAAACCUCAAAGCAUGCUACUACUGAAGAAGGAAUAAUUAAGUGCAAUAUUGAGUAGACCAACCAUGCAUGCUGUUUCUUUCUAAUAUAUUUAAAUCAGGGUAACAAUGAAAAAGGUGAAUCAGAAGUUUUGAUGCUGUGCUAUACUCCAAAGACAAAAGUACUUACUGUAGUUUUUUUUAGCCCAUAGCUAGAAGCUGAUUUCUGAAGUGAUUAUGAACAGUGAACAAUGAAGUACAAUGACCUUGUGAGUCAUGUGAGGACAGUCCUAUUGCUUUCACUUCUGCCUAUCUGACUAUACUGCUUUGAAGAUUGUGCAUCAGGAGAUUUUUGAAGAUGUCUGAUCCUGGCAUUCUGUCCAGCCAGGACAGAGAGAGGGAUGAAUGGUAUGGCUAUUAGUCUGAACAGGUACAAUGCUCUUCCUGACAGCUGGGACUAGAUCACUCAAUGGUAUUUUCAGAGGGUACACUGUAAAGAAACGGGUACUAUGAAUACCACUCAAAGCAAAACUAAAAUGGAGAAAAGUAUCCAAGAAUAUGCUAACUUUCCAUCAGGAUGCCUGUUGAAGCAAGGGCUUUAGGUUAAUUAAGUUUUCAUACAUAUCAACUAUGUUUAUGGAUAUAGGAACAAAUUCCAGCUCUACUUAAUAUGCUUGAAAGGAAUCCUUGCCUAUCCCCUCUG